AAAAAGACAAACCCUGGGUUUCCGUGUCUAACUUUGACUGUCCGUCUUAUAUGAAUUUUUUUUAUAAUUCGUAUUUUUAUUAUUGUUAGAUGAUAAAACAUGAUUAAUACUUUGUGUGUGACUUGUCUUUUUUAUUUUUUUCAUAAUUUUUUCAAAUAAGAUGGUAGGUCAAACGUUAGGCACGAAAAUCAAGGUUUGUCUUUUU
rfam:Oryza sativa (indica cultivar-group) chromosome 6, whole genome shotgun sequence.